rnacentral:lncRNA from 1 species
CGAAAUAGAUAUUCAACUAAUUAAAAGAAAAAAUAAUUACCUUCUUCAUUAAUUACAUUAUGGCACAUAUCGCAAUUCACGAAUUGUAGCUGGUCAGUUUGCAAGGCGUAUUUACUUGGUAUGAUUUUCCGGAAUGACACCAGUUGCUAGAUCUGUGCCUUCA